UGAUUGUAGGUACAGUGUAGCAGUAGGAUGUUUGUAGAUUGUGUGAAUUAUUUGAGUCGUGUUUGGUAGGACUAUCAGUACCCAGCAUGUCAUGGCUGUGAUGCAGUGAAUGUGAUGGCCGUGGUCCCUGCCAUAGCCCUCCGGUGAUGAAUGAGACGAGAUGACAUCCAUUGAGAUAUGACACGAAUACAACGAAGUCAGAGAAAACUAGGAGUAGUAUUUAUGGAUUCAAAACUUCAGCAAUUGUUCCAUGGUUUAGUUGAUCAGGCUCGAACCAGUGACUGCAACGCUCAGAAUGGAGGACUCGGAGCCACCGAAAAAAAGGAGCGCAUCGGAUACGCAGGCAAGUGAAGAAGACGCCGAGCAACAACAACGACAGCAGCAGAAGCUGAAACAAAUACCGAUGUGGUCGUGCUUUGGAUGCCAAACCAAAAACGAGGAGAGCCUCGGGUCGGUGUGUAAGAAAUGUGCACAGUCCCGGCAUGCUCCACCUGUGGCAACGGUAGCGUCUCGGCCCACGAACGAAGGAAUACUUUCCCUGCCCUCGAUGGACAGUAUGGUCAAUGCCUUCCAGUUGAAUGUGGCCGCUUACGCCGAGGACAGCAGCAGCGUGGAAGCCAGCGGCAUGGCAGAGUGGGCGUGCGUGUCGUGCCAGUUUGUGAACGACGGCGCCACCGCGCAGUGCGCCCUGUGCUACGCCUCGCGGCAAUGUCUUGACGUGCGUGGUACUAGCGCUGCUCCCACUGUGCCUGAUGCUGGCGUGCAUUCACCUGGUGACACUGAAGACAUGGACAUGUCUUAAAUGCUGUAAAAUCGACAUCGAUGGAAGUAAAGUGAGCGUAGUCAUACCACGACUCCACCAAUUGGAACAAUAUGCAACGUAUAAGGUUUUUGUCUCCAUGCUGCCUUUUUUGAAAAAGAAAUAAAAAAUUAUUUUCUAAAAUCGUACAUUGGUGUUCUCCGGGCUCCUAACACGCUGAAACUGGCGAUCUUUUUUUUUCAUUCGUUUCGUCCAGCUGAGAGCUUGUUUGUGGGACGGACGGACAAUGCAAGCGUUAGCAAGUGCAAAGAAAACACUGCACUGGAAUUGUUGUUGUUGUUGUUGUUGUUGUUGUUUCAAAUCUUUGUUCUCACGGUGGCCAUUGUUGUUGUCGUCGUCGUCGUUUGAUUUGAUUUUAAUUCGCAGUGACCAAACGAGUACAGUCAUGUUGAUUUGUAGAGUUCUUAGAAGAAAUAUACCGUCAGCACUUGU